rnacentral:rRNA from 1 species
GUAGGUGGCAAGCGUUGUCCGGAAUUAUUGGGCGUAAAGCGCGCGCAGGCGGUUCUUUAAGUCUGAUGUGAAAGCCCACGGCUCAACCGUGGAGGGUCAUUGGAAACUGGAGAACUUGAGUACAGAAGAGGAAAGCGGAAUUCCACGUGUAGCGGUGAAAUGCGUAGAGAUGUGGAGGAACACCAGUGGCGAAGGCGGCUUUCUGGUCUGCAACUGACGCUGAGGCGCGAAAGCGUGGGGGAGCAAACAGGAUUAGAUACCCUGGUAGUCCACGCCGUAAACGAUGAGUGCUAAGUGUUAGGGGGUUUCCGCCCCUUGGUGCUGCAGCUAACGCAUUAAGCACUCCGCCCUGGGAGUACGGCCGCAAGGCUG